rnacentral:rRNA from 1 species
UUCUCCUGGAAAACGGGUGGUAAUGCCGGAUGCUCCAGCAGGCCGCAUGUCCUUCGGGAAAGAUUCAUCGGUAUGGGAUGGGGUCGCGUCCUAUCAGCUUGAUGGCGGGGUAACGGCCCACCAUGGCUUCGACGGGUAGCCGGCCUGAGAGGGCGACCGGCCACAUUGGGACUGAGAUACGGCCCAGACUCCUACGGGAGGCAGCAGUGGGGAAUAUUGCACAAUGGGCGCAAGCCUGAUGCAGCGACGCCGCGUGCGGGAUGACGGCCUUCGGGUUGUAAACCGCUUUUGACUGGGAGCAAGCCCUUCGGGGUGAGUGUACCUUUCGAAUAAGCACCGGCUAACUACGUGCCAGCAGCCGCGGUAAUACGUAGGGUGCAAGCGUUAUCCGGAAUUAUUGGGCGUAAAGGGCUCGUAGGCGGUUCGUCGCGUCCGGUGUGAAAGUCCAUCGCUUAACGGUGGAUCCGCGCCGGGUACGGGCGGGCUUGAGUGCGGUAGGGGAGACUGGAAUUCCCGGUGUAACGGUGGAAUGUGUAGAUAUCGGAAAAGAACACCACCCC